AAUGUUAUCACGGGAGACACACGGCGGGUGCUAACGUCCGUCGUGAAGAGGGAAACAACCCAGACCGCCAGCUAAGGUCCCAAAGUCAUGGUUAAGUGGGAAACGAUGUGGGAAGGCCCAGACAGCCAGGAUGUUGGCUUAGAAGCAGCCAUCAUUUAAAGAAAGCGUAAUAGCUCACUGGUCGAGUCGGCCUGCGCGGAAGAUGUAACGGGGCUAAACCAUGCACCGAAGCUGCGGCAGCGACGCUGAUGCGUUGUUGGGUAGGGGAGCGUUCUGUAAGCCUGCGAAGGUGACCUGUGAGGGUUGCUGGAGGUAUCAGAAGUGCGAAUGCUGACAUAAGUAACGAUAAAGCGGGUGAAAAGCCCGCUCGCCGGAAGACCAAGGGUUCCUGUCCAACGUUAAUCGGGGCAGGGUGAGUCGACCCCUAAGGCGAGGCCGAAAGGCGUAGUCGAUGGGAAACGGGUUAAUAUUCCCGUACUUGGUGUUACUGCGAAGGGGGGACGGAGAAGGCUAUGUUGGCCGGGCGACGGUUGUCCCGGUUUAAGCGUGUAGGUGUGUGUUCCAGGUAAAUCCGGUUCACUUUAACACUGAGGCGUGACGACGAGGCACUACGGUGCUGAAGCAACAAAUGCCCUGCUUCCAGGAAAAGCCUCUAAGCAUCAGGUAACACGAAAUCGUACCCCAAACCGACACAGGUGGUCAGGUAGAGAAUACCAAGGCGCUUGAGAGAACUCGGGUGAAGGAACUAGGCAAAAUGGUGCCGUAACUUCGGGAGAAGGCACGCUGACACGUAGGUGAAGUGAUUUACUCAUGGAGCUGAAGUCAGUCGAAGAUACCAGCUGGCUGCAACUGUUUAUUAAAAACACAGCACUGUGCAAACACGAAAGUGGACGUAUACGGUGUGACGCCUGCCCGGUGCCGGAAGGUUAAUUGAUGGGGUCAGCGCAAGCGAAGCUCCUGAUCGAAGCCCCGGUAAACGGCGGCCGUAACUAUAACGGUCCUAAGGUAGCGAAAUUCCUUGUCGGGUAAGUUCCGACCUGCACGAAUGGCGUAAUGAUGGCCGACGUGACUCCACCCGAGACUCAGUGAAAUUGAACUCGCUGUGAA
rnacentral:rRNA from 1 species